AUAUAAAAGUACGAUGAACGCUUUGUAGAAAUUUGCAUUCUGUUUUUGCAUAUACAACCAGACGUGUUGCAUUAAAGUUUGAACUCGAGUUUAGUACAUAUCUAAUUUAGGUACGUUGAAAUAAUUUUCGAUCAAACUUGGAAGAAAUUUUACGUGGAUUUUCAAAUUCAAGGUGAACGAGAUUCACAGAUGGAUUGGAAAGCAAACGUGAAGCGGAUUUACGCGAUUGGUGUUGUUUUAAUCAUCACAAAUGCGGCGUCUGGAGUCAGUGGUAACAAAACGGAUAAUUCUGCGGACAGAAGAUGGGAACCUUACACAGAUUUAGAUUGUCAAUAUGUGUGUGAGACACUGGGGAAAUUUUGUGGGUGCAAUAUGCUGAAAACCAGAAGUGAAAACUUUGAACAUUAUUUUCCAAUAAGAGCAAUAAAUGACAUGCUUGAGUUAAAAUUCAAAGUGAAAGCGGAACGCAACGCUUAUCUCGCACCUCGGGAGUAAUAAGGUCACAUCUCAAAAAAAAUUGAUUUUGAUGUUUUUGCAUUUUUGGGGUUUGUAUGACCCCCUGCAACCAAAAAUAACACUUUGAGUCGGGUAUGCUGCUUAGAUCAUGUAAAAAAUGCAAAGGGCCUAACUCAAAAUUUCUACAACAUUGCAAGUUGUUUGGAGUAAUAAGGUCACAUCUCAAAAAAAAUCGAUUUUGAUGUUUUUGCAUUUUUGGGGUUUGUAUGACCCCCUGCAACCAAAAAUAACACUUUGAGUCGGGUAUGCUGCUUAGAUCAUGUAAAAAAUGCAAAGGGCCUAACUCAAAAUUUCUACAACAUUGCAAGUUGUUUGGAGUAAUAAGGUCACAUCUCAAAAAACUCAUCUUUCUUUGAGUAAAAUUCGCACAUACAAAGUGUCAGAAAACAGUUUCGAAUGUUUUGAACGUUUUUAAGAUGUAAAAUAAUCACAAGGAGUGCAUUUUUUAUUGGUUUGUACUAAAUGAAAACAUUUUUUUAAAUUGAUCACUUUUCAGAAAAAUGAAUUUGCAUAUACAUUGAAAUUUUAGUUUUUUGAGAAAAACUCAAAAACUAAGCACUCUAGAAAAAAACUAACGACACUAUGUCGAUUGGAAAUUUAAUUCUCUACAAUUUUGUUAUCAUGAAAUUUUUUUUUGACGCUUAUUUUCGCCUCCAGAUCACUUUUUAUGAAAGGUUAUAACUCAAAAUGUUUUCCAAACAUUGAAAUAUUUCCUCUUUAAGAGUUUAUUUUUCAAAAUAUUCGUAUGCUAAAUGAAGGUAGGAUACCCAAUCUUCAAAAUGACAUGCUAUUCAUUCCUCACAAUUGAUUAUAAGUUGAUGAAAAUAAUGAAUCAAGUUUUUAAAAAAAAGAAAAUCACUCUCCUGUAAAAUUUCACUUUUUUGAGAUGUGACCUUAUUACUCCCGAGGUGCGAUCUGAAGUUUUCCGCGCGCAGGUUCGAUGAAUCAUUUAGCGAUACUUAUCAUAUAGUCCUGGGCUUAAUUUCGCACUUAGAGACCAAUACGAGUAAAUCGGUAUCAAUUAUCCUAGCGAGGUGGGGUAGUAUCAAUACAGCUUCAAAAACAAUGGAAUCCCUGUUGUCUCUCAACGAAUGGCGCGAAUUCUGGGUUCAAAUCAAUCCUGGUCCUGGUACAAUAAAAGUUGGAAGAAAGGGUGAAAACGCAUUCAUUGAAUUAAAAAAUGCACCCACGUAUCAUAUUCGGUUUUACAGCGUUGCUACUUUCAAUGGGGGUUCCACUGUUUUAUGGAACUUUCCUUGUAUUGAGGAAAAAGAUUUCUCGUGGUAAGAUUUUUGGUGACAGACGGAUUCAUGUUUUUAAUCACACACUGCCGAUGCAGUUAUGAGUAAUUGAUGGAAUAAAAAUGUUUUAAGAUUAAAUAUUGUCUUUAAUUGUUCGCUUUUCUGAAUUGAUCUUUCAAAUUGAGCUGAGUGUACCUAUUUAUCUUUCAAAUUUUCCACGGAGGGGUAGGUGGGUGUAGCAGAAAAUCUGAGGUCAUAUUCGUGCUCAGCGGUAUCGAAUCAUAUGAAAACGACACCAAUGUCAUCAAAAUAACUAUAUUUCAAAAAUCGUGAAAAUUGAGGGGGGUUGAGGGGCUCUGGAGAGGGGUAGGUGAGUGUAGCAGAAAAUCUGAGGUCAUAUUCGUGCUCAGUGGUAUCGAAUCAUAUGAAAACGAUACCCUACUCAUUAAUAGUUUUUUUUUUCAAAAUUGCCAUUUCACCCCCACCCCCCUACGAUACAUUAUUCCAAGUUUUCACCACGGCGCACCAAAGCAAAAAUUUCUAAUAUAGUAAAUGAUGUUUGGGGGCCAAAAAUACAUCCAAAAAACGUGUUUACAAAAUUGUACUUCGCAAUCUUGAUUGUUAAUAGGCAUAAAAAAAAUGGAAAAAACGCCAUUUUGAGGGGUAAAUAUGAGGGGAGGGGUUGAAAAUUUUUGUGGGGAUACCUAUCAAGGAUAUACAUAACCUCCAGAAAAAUUUUCGAAAUCGGUUGAAAUGGGGCUGAGAAAAGUGUUACUGAAAUUGUAAGGUACAGGUAUGGCCCAACCGCGUAGGGGGAAAUUGCUAGAAGCUCCUCCAUACCGGUUUUAAUGUAUUCCCCUUAAAAGAGGAGAAAUAAGAUCCACCUCUUUAUGGUCAAGGUCUACGUGUUAACUCCCACGAUGAUCCGAGCGAGUACCGCGACGGAUCAUCAGAUGAGAAAGAAAGAUGAGUUCGUUCAAGUCUUCUGAAGUGGUAACAUCUUCUUAAGAGCCUUCUCGCGUCGUCGUUAUGCACAGGACCAGAGGUCCAGUGUGGUGUCACCGGUUGUCGAAUCUCCAUCUUAAUAGACAAGUUCUUAUUAUUCGCGAUGAUAGGAUCUAGUCAAGUGCCAUUCAAUCCAUAUAAUUUAGGUUGUGCCGUACAUUCUUCCCCCGUUGUAACCCCCUCGAGGGUUAAUAUAAUUGAUAUUAACUUGUCCCCCGUUAUGUCGUUGUGGGACAGGGUAUUUUCGACUCGCAUGUAACGAUUCUGGAUGUAACACAGCGAUAUCAGGUAAAAGUGCAGAGUAGGAUAUGUACACACCAAUAAGGCCUAGUAUUCGUGAGCCGUUCAGUAGGGGUGUGAAAGUGUACAGUGUUUUGCCGUAAUUAUCGCAAGAUAAUUGCCGCCCAUUCUUUUCUGGGUUUUAUGACGUGAUUGUCAUAAAAUCAUGUGCAGUAAGCCUAAUCAGCUUACACAGACGCAAGGAACGAUUUAUUGCUCCUUCAAUAGGGUAAGUAUAUAAAUAUUCUUACGCACAAGGCCUUACGCCUCUUUAGUGACAUAUUGUAGCUAUUUCUCUAACACUAGCGUGUAAUAGAUUGCCUAGUUGUACUUUGUACGUUAAAUAGCAUUUUAUCCAUAUAACUCUCUGAGUAUAAAUUUGUAUAAUUAUGUAAAAAAAUCAGAAUAAACUAAAUGUACAUAUUGUUCUA